ACGUGAGUGGUGUAAGGCGAACAUUGCUGCCCGGAAAGCAGAAGAUGCGGGUUCGAGUCCCGCCUGACGCA
rnacentral:tRNA from 1 species